CGUUGAUCUUACUUGUAAAGACAAACCCAGAACCCUUGGAUCAAAAAGUAGACGACAGGACCGGCGCCUUUUAUUCCCGGCCUUCGAAUCCGUCUUGACAGAAAAGACCCUGAGCCGUUGGAUUAAAAAAAAGAAAGGAUAGAUAUUCUGAAUAGGAUCUCAACCAUCCAUUUUGAUUCCCUUCAAUUCUCAGACAUCGGAUUAUGUCCUUUUAAAUCCAAACCUUCCAUCUCCCCAGAAGAGAUCCUGACCUUCAUUAGGAACACCCGUUCCCUAUAAAUACCUGCAUGCAAUACUGUAGAGGGACGGACAAAAAAAGGGUGGUGGUGAUUAUAGUGGAAAGGCUCUGAAAUUUAAUUCAGUAUUGUUGCUUUGCCAUUCUAAGCUUGCAUAAAAAUUGAGAAAUUUCAGAAACUAGUUUUCUCGAGUAUCUCAAUUGAUAGAGUUUUUGAACCCUGAAAUCCUUCAUUUUCAGUUUGUUCGUCACUCUACCACACCAUUUCUGUUCAGUCUCGUCUUCAUCACCCCAACAUCAACACAUUAUUCUUUCAGCUUGAUCUCAUUCUGACCCAGUUUCUGUCGCUUCGAUUCAACUGCAUUUUAACCUGGUUUUUGCAAUCUCGAAGUAAGCAUUGGUCCUUGUAUCACCAGCUUUCAACUCUACAAUACUUGUGAUCUCCAGAGUCAGUUUGAUAGCCUCGACCUCACACAGGUAAGUGCCUAGACUGUCAUUUUGCCGAACGCUCACGUUUUACUUUCUUUGCUUUUAUUCUCGAAAUUUUCAUUAAAUCCAAUCAUACUAAAGAUCCCACGUAGAUCCCUCAGGCCGAUAUUUAUUCUCUUGAGUCUACUUUUCCCUUUAUAAGUUCACGUUAUUUAUUUGUUCUUAGUUUUUAUUUCCUUCGAAUAUAGUUGUUUUGGUUGCGGGUAACUUAUAGGUAAUUUAGUAGCAAUAUCCUCACGUGAUAGUUUCUUUUGAAUAAGUAAAAAUAAUCAAAGAAUGAAUAGGGAAUCAGGAGAAAAGUCAUGAGGUCGGGCUACUAAGCGAGUCUAGAAAAUAGCAUAAUAGAGCGGGAAUCGAGAUAAGAACCCAGACUAGUAACCGAGAGAGAUCGGAUGUAGCCAGCCAAAGAGUUCGGACAAGGUAGUCACAUACGAGAUCGGUGAAAAGUUCGGUCUUACGUCACGAACACCAGUGUUAUUAAAGGCGUGGGAGGCGCCCAGGCGAGGCGAGAGGCGAGGGGAGGCGCCCAUCUGCCGCCUAGACUGGGUCGCCCCUCUUGGCACCUCCAGAGUCGACGCCUCAUGCCGGCGAGGCGAGAAACCAAGCGGGCGAGAGGCGUCGCCUCUUUAAAACAGAGCAGAAUCUCUUUUUUUAAAAAAAAUUUUUUAAGACAAAAA
rnacentral:misc_RNA from 1 species